AUGGCAACAAAUGAGAACCUCCCACCAAAUGUCAUCAGGCAAUUGGCUAAAGAACUGAAGAAUCUUGAUGAAUCACCUCCAGAAGGGAUUGAAGUUAUUGUUAACGAUGAUGACUUCAGCACCAUUUUUGCUGAUAUUGAGGGCCCUGCUGGAACUCCAUAUGAGAAUGGAGUAUUCCGCAUGAAGUUAUUGUUGUCUCGUGACUUCCCUCACUCUCCCCCAAAAGGGUUCUUCUCGACAAAAAUAUUCCAUCCAAACAUAGCAACUAGUGGCGAGAUAUGUGUGAACACGUUGAAAAAGGAUUGGAACCCUAGUCUUGGAUUGCGACAUGUUCUGCUGGUAGUGAGAUGCCUUCUGAUCGAACCAUUCCCCGAAUCUGCCCUUAAUGAACAAGCUGGAAAGAUGUUGCUUGAAAACUACGAGGAGUAUGCACGCCUUGCAAGGCUGUACACCGGCAUUCAUGCACAUAAACAUAAGAACAAGUCCAAGACCGGAGCCAUUUGCGAGUCAACCACAGCUCUAAACGUGGGUCAGAGCAAUAGCACCGUUCCGAGCAAGAACAUACCAUCGGCGCCAGCACUAGUAUCCACCUCCGCCUCGACCAAAGUGCUAGGCAUACAGGAUCAGAACGCCGCUCCUUCUGAUCCUUCUGUAGGAUCAUCAACGGCGCACAAGAAGGACGGGCCGCUUGCCGCCAAAAUCCCAGCCGAGAAGAGGAAGAUGGAUGCCAGGAAGAAGAGCCUGAAGAGGCUGUAA
rnacentral:rRNA from 1 species